UUGUGUAUAUGUCUUGUCCUUUUUUGUCCUUAUUUUUUCCUUUAGGUGUGCGCCAGGACUUGGCCAUACCAGGUAUAUAUGUUUUGUUAAGGUCUUUGUGUAUAUGUCUUGUCCUUUUUUGUCUUAUUUUUUUUCCUUUAGGUUGUGUGGCCCAGGACUUGGCCAUACCAGGUAAUAUGUUAUGUUAAGGUCUUUGUGUAUAUGUCUUGUCCUUUUUUUCCUUAUUUUUUUUCCUUUAGGUUGUGCGACCAGGACUUGGCCAUACCAGGUAUAUAUGUUAUUGUUAAGUCUUUGUGUAUAUGUCUUGUCCUUUUUGUCCUAUUUUUUUCCUUUAGGUUGUGGCGACCAGGACUUGGCCAUACCAGGUAUAUAUGUUAUGUUAAGGUCUUUGUGUAUAUGUCUUGUCCUUUUUUUGUCCUUAUUUUUUUCCUUUAGGUUGUGCGACCAGGACUUGCCAUACCAGGUAUAUAUGUUAUUGUUAAGGUUUUUGUUAUUACUGUCUUGUCCUUUUUUUUCCUUUAGGUUGUCGGCCCAGGACUUGGCCAUACCAGGUAUAUAUGUUAUUGUUAGGUCUUUGUGUGUAUAUGUUUUCCUUUUUUUGUCCUUAUUUUUUCCUUUAGGUUGUUCGGCCAGGACUUGGCCAUACCAGGUAUAUAUGUUAUUGUUAAGGUCUUUGUGUAUAUGUCUUGUCCUUUUUUUGUUUUUUUUCCUUUAGGUUGUGCGCCCAGGACUUGGCCAUACCAGGUUAAUAUUUAUUGUUAAGCGUUUGUGUAUAUGUCUUGUCCUUUUUUUGUCCUUAUUUUUUUCCUUUAGGUUGUGCGGCCCAGGACUUGCCAUACCAGGUAUAUAUGUUAUUGUUAAGGUCUUUGUGUAUAUGUCUUGUCCUUUUUUUCCUUAGUUGCUAGCCAGGUGUGGCCAUACCAGUAUAUAUGUUAUUGUUAAGGUCUUUGUGUAAUGUCUUGUCCUUUUUUGUCCUUAUUUUUUUUCCUUUAGGUUGUGGACCCAGGACUUGGCCAUACCAGGUAUAUAUGUUAUUGUUAAGGUCUUUGUGUAUAUGUCUUGUCCUUUUUUGUCCUUAUUUUUUUUCCUUUAGGUUGUCGACCCAGGACUUGGCCAUACCAGGUAUAUAUGUUAUUGUUAAGGUCUUUGUGUAUAUGUCUUGUCCUUUUUUUGCCUUAUUUUUUUUCCUUUAGGUUGUGGACCCAGGACUUGGCCAUACCAGGUAUAUAUGUUAUUGUUAAGGUCUUUGUGUAUAUGUCUUGUCUUUUUGUCCUUAUUUUUUUCCUUUAGGUUGUGCGGCCCAGGACUUGGCCAUACCAGGUAUAUAUGUUAUUGUUAAGGUCUUGUGUAUAUGUCUUGUCCUUUUUUGUCCUUAUUUUUUUUCCUUAGGUUGUGCGCCAGGACUUGCCUAACCAGGUAUAUAUGUUAUUGUUAAGGUUCUUUGUGUAUCUGUCUUUUGUCCUUUUUUUCCUUUAGAUUGUUCGGCCCAGGACUUGGCCAUACCAGGUUCAGGUAUAUAUGUUAUUGUUAAGGUCUUUGUGUAUAUGUCUUGUCCUUUUUUUGUCCUUAUUUUUUUUCCUUUAGGUUGUGCGACCCAGGACUUGGCCAUACCAGGUAUAUAUGUUAUUGUUAAGGUCUUUUGUGUAUAUGUCUUGUCCUUUUUUUUCCUUUAGGAUGUACGGCCCAGGACUUCGCCAUACCAGGUAUAUAUGUUAUUGUUAAGGUCUUUGUGUAAGUUUCAUGUCCUUUUUUUGCCCCUAUUUUUUUUCCUUUAGGUUGUACGGCCCAGGACUUGGCCAUACCAGGUAUAUAUGUUAUUGUUAAGGUCUUUGUGUACAUUUCUGUCCUUUUUUUGCCCCUAUUUUUUUUCCUUUAGGUUGUGCAGCCCAGGACUUGGCCAUACCAGGUAUAUAUGUUAUUGUUAAGGUCUUUGUGUAUGUGUCUCAUGUCUUUUUUUGCCCCUAUUUUUUUUCCUUUAGGUUGUGCGGCCCAGGACUUGGCCAUACCAGGUAUAUAUGUUAUUGUUAAGGUCUUUGUGUAGUGUCUGUCAUUUUUUUGCCCCUAUUUUUUUCCUUUAGGUUGUGCGGCCCAGGACUUGGCCAUACCAGGUAUAUAUGUUAUUGUUAAGGUCUUUGUGUAAGUUUCAUGUCCUUUUUUUGCCCCUAUUUUUUUCCUUUAGGUUGUACAGCCCAGGACUUGGCCAUACCAGGUAUAUAUGUUAUUGUUAAGGUCUUUGUGUAUCAUGUCUUGCCCCUUUUUUUUUCCCUUUAGGUUGUGCAGCCCAGGACUUGGCCAUACCAGGUAUAUAUGUUAUUGUUAAGGUCUUUGUGUAAUGUCUCAUGUCCUUUUUUUGCCCCUAUUUUUUUCCUUUAGGUUGUGCAGCCCAGGACUUGGCCAUACCAGGUAUAUAUGUUAUUGUUAAGGUCUUUGUGUAUUUCUGUCAUUUUUUUGCCCCUAUUUUUUUCCUUUAGGUUGUGCAGCCCAGGACUUGGCCAUACCAGGUAUAUAUGUUAUUGUUAAGGUCUUUGUGUUGUGUCUGUCUUUUUUUGCCCCUUAUUUUUUUUUCCUUUAGGUUGUGCGGCCCAGGACUUGGCCAUACCAGGUAUAUAUGUUAUUGUUAAGGUCUUUGUGUAAUGUCUGUCCUUUUUUUGCCCCUAUUUUUUUCCUUUAGGUUGUGCAGCCCAGGACUUGGCCAUACGAGGUAUAUAUGUUAUUGUUAAGGUCUUUGUGUGUGUUUCAUGUCUUUUAUUUGCCCCUUUUCUUUUCCUUUAGGUUGUGCAGCCCAGGACUUGGCCAUACCAGGUAUAUAUGUUAUUAUUAAGGUCUUUGUGUAAGUCUCAUGUCCUUUUUUUGCCCCUAUUUUUUUUCCUUUAGGUUGUGCAGCCCAGGACUUGGCCAUACCAGGUAUAUAUGUUAUUGUUAAGGUCUUUGUGUAUAUAUGUCUUGUCCUUUUUUGUCCUUAUUUUUUUUCCUUUAGGUUGUGCGACCCAGGACUUGGCCAUACCAGGUAUAUAUGUUAUUGUUAAGGUCUUUGUGUAUAUGUCUUGUCCUUUUUUUGUCCUUAUUUUUUUUCCUUUAGGUUGUGCGACCCAGGACUUGGCCAUACCAGGUAUAUAUGUUAUUGUUAAGGUCUUUUGUGUAUAUGUCUUGUCCUUUUUUUGUCCUUUUUUUUUCCUCUAGGUUGUUCGGCCCAGUACUUGGCCAUACCAGGUAUAUAUAUGUUAUUGUUAAGGUCUUUGUGUAUAUGUCUUGUCCUUUUUUUGUCCUUAUUUUUUUUCCUUUAGGUUGUGCGACCCAGGACUUGGCCAUACCAGGUAUAUAUGUUAUUGUUAAGGUCUUUGUGUAUAUGUUCUUGUCCUUUUUUUGUCCUUAUUUUUUUCCUUUAGGAUGUACGGCCCAGGACUUCGCCAUACCAGGUAUAUAUGUUAUUGUUAAGGUCUUUGUGUAAGUUUCAUGUCCUUUUUUUGCCCCUAUUUUUUUCCUUUAGGUUGUACAGCCCAGGACUUGGCCAUACCAGGUAUAUAUG
rnacentral:lncRNA from 1 species